rnacentral:lncRNA from 1 species
GGCCUGCACGUCCUCAGGAAGCACUCGUUCCAAGCGAGCCUGGUCUCGCGGGAUCCCGCCUAGGCUGCGCAGAGGGUGCUGGGAGGAUACGCGUGGUGCCGGUGUGCCCCGCCGCUUCCCACACUCCCGUCCGUAAGGAGUCAGCUUCCCGCCUCCUGUCGGGCAACCCCUGAUGAUCGGGACGGGACGCCUGGGCCUCCCCUCCGCCCGCCAGAGGCCCGGUGCAGGGGCACGCACCUGGGCAGGUGCGGAGGUUCCCACGCGACCGGAAGGCUGUGUGGGAGGGGAGGGACCCUGAGCCAGGAAGGGAGGACUGCGCAUGCGCAGGCUCUAGCCGGCGGCAGCCUUCCAGGAAGGCCUGGCACGUGUUCCAAAGAUGAGGAAAGAAGGCCAUCCCCUAGACUUGUCGGCUUGGAAUUUCAGAUCACGAAGAAAGACAGGCCUGUAAGAGCUUCAGCUGAAGAAAACACUAUUUCAUUACAAAGGAACGAGAAUCCGUCUGGCAUUAGCAACCGUGGAGGCUAGAAGACAGGGAAGCGAUGCCUUCAAAGACUAUGACCAGCCGAACUCCCAGCCAAGGGUGAAAGCAAAACAAAACAAAAAUCCAGACAGGCAGGAAUCAGAUGGUUCACCCCCAUACACGUCUUUUUAGUGGAAGUUACCUGAGACUGUACUCCAGGAAAACGAAGGCAUAUCCAAGGAAAAGAAAGACAGGCUCUGGAGACAGUGAUCUCAACGUGGGAGGACAAGAAAGAGAAGUUCUAGGAUAACAGGGAUGCGGAAGACUGGAGACGAAGCCAGGCAGCGUGGAACAGGAGAAUGGAGAUCUGGGGAGACGGGGAGCUGCACGGCCGGUGUGAUGUGGAGUCUGAAAAUGUGAAGGAGGUGAUCGAGGCAAAUGAUGCAAGAAAGCCAAAAAGCAAGUCAAUAUUUUAGAGGUGAGGCCAAGAGGAGGAGGAAAGAGGGCCCCGAACCUGAGUCUGAGUGACCCUGACAGAACUCCCAGAGAACAAUGAGUGGCAGCUUUACCUUUGAGCUUGGUGGAUAGUAGGAUGAUGGCUGGGUAACCGACCGUGUCCUCGUUCCUUUGCACUCCCAGUGACCCAGAGAGAUGCAUGUUCCUUUGUUUGCUCCUUUGUUCAUUUAUUCAUUCGAACAUUUGUGUAGGAUUUUUAUGUGCCAUGUGCUGUGGUAGAAACCAGAAAUGGAAAAUGUAAUAAAGACAAGACCCUUCUUCAUGAGCGCUCAGGGUCUGUUUCCUUUCUUCUGAACACGGCACUUUCUCUUGUUCUCCUUUGAGACUUUUAUCUCCCUUCGCUCUGAACUACAGUUAUUUAUUUAAUUUUCAUCUGUUCUCAGAGGCUUUUGACCAGAAUUUGCAAAAUGGCUAUGGUGGGCACUAUGACCUACAGAUGUGUUUUUUC